UAGUUGCUAUACCAAGAGCACCAAAUGGUGAUGUUAACAGAUUAGAACAAAUAAAAAACAUCAGGUACCCUGUAAAGAAUAGUGGACACAGACAAAGUAGUUCCCCCCCUCGGGAAGCUUACAUUCAUCCCAUGAGGAUACAACAUUGACCCAGAUAAAUUUAUUAAGAAGCAACUUGAGGAGGCAAAGGACACAAGCACCCUUGGCCAACAGGGAAGGGAGAUUUGAUAGAAGAGGUGAGACCUGAGAUGAGCCUUGAAGGAAAAUGAGAGUAGACCAGGAACCGAGAGCCUUAGGGAACAGGAAGUACCCAGAAGCAUGGGCAAACUGGAGAAAGAGCUUUCUAAAUCCAGCCAGAUCCUGUAUAUCUCGGGCUGUCAGGAACCCUCUUCCUUAGAGCACAUUCAGACAGAACAGUUUUGCAUUAAUUUAGGGCUAAUUGUCAGGUAAUGAAUUCGAUUUGGCUCACCAUAUUGAAAUCCCUUCUGCUCCCAGCUGAACACCAGUAAAUCAUUUGCAUCACAAAUCUCCUCUUUUCUGAAUGCUCAGCUUGCCUGGGCUGUUGCUCAGUCCUUCUCCUGUUCUCUGGUCUUUGAAAUCAGUUGAAAAAUCACGUUUUCUUUUUAAAGGGGGCAAUGUGGAGGCACAUCAGUUAAAGUCAGUCUUGCAGAAUUGGCUCUGAAAGUUCUGGAAAAUCCAAUUCAAAUUUUGCCCUGGACCACUCCUGCUGAGCUGUUUGAGAAUGGAUAGUGUUGGAGACCAUGAAGGAUACACCAUCUUGAAAAAAUCCAUCAGUAUGCGGUUUGAGAUCCUUAAGAAAUCUGGUGUAUGGGAAUAUAGCAGAGAGUCAUUGAAGUCCACCAGCAAGACAAAAGUCAGGAUGAGUGGUGUGGCUUGGGUUGCAUUAGAUGACCUUGGUUCCACAGCCUGUUUCAGCCACCUUGAUGUGUGUAGGAACAAACUGUUCUCAUCCACCCAUUCCAUCAGGGAGAGACCCAGAGAAGGACAGCUGGGAUGCCACCUUAUCUCAUGGUGAACCCCUCAAUCUUUAUAUAGUGAUAGGAAGACCAGAUUUUGAGUCCAAACACCUGCAUGUGAGAUCUUGCUGGAUGUCCACCUGAGACUGUGGCAUUCCAUGAUUUGUAGCCAUGUUACAUCCCUGGACGAAUGAUGCUAUUUUAUUUCAAGAAGGAGCCCAUGGUCAUUGGAAGCACUGCACAAUUUCCCAAAGGUGACUCUCCCAUGUUCUGGAGUUUGCUGCAACAGCACUACGUUACCUAUAAACAGGAGCAUGUUGAGGACCUCAAGGAAAUCCCACUUCAAUUUUGAUGUUACUCUGCACAUUCUACAUGAUGGAAAAUAUCUUGGGUAAGUCUACGUUUUGUGUUUAUGUGCUUCAUGUGAAUAAUAAUCAAAUA
rnacentral:lncRNA from 1 species